rnacentral:rRNA from 1 species
GAUGAACGCUGGCGGCGUGCCUAAUACAUGCAAGUCGAGCGAACGGACGAGAAGCUUGCUUCUCUGAUGUUAGCGGCGGACGGGUGAGUAACACGUGGAUAACCUACCUAUAAGACUGGGAUAACUUCGGGAAACCGGAGCUAAUACCGGAUAAUAUUUUGAACCGCAUGGUUCAAAAGUGAAAGACGGUCUUGCUGUCACUUAUAGAUGGAUCCGCGCUGCAUUAGCUAGUUGGUAAGGUAACGGCUUACCAAGGCAACGAUGCAUAGCCGACCUGAGAGGGUGAUCGGCCACACUGGAACUGAGACACGGUCCAGACUCCUACGGGAGGCAGCAGUAGGGAAUCUUCCGCAAUGGGCGAAAGCCUGACGGAGCAACGCCGCGUGAGUGAUGAAGGUCUUCGGAUCGUAAAACUCUGUUAUUAGGGAAGAACAUAUGUGUAAGUAACUGUGCACAUCUUGACGGUACCUAAUCAGAAAGCCACGGCUAACUACGUGCCAGCAGCCGCGGUAAUACGUAGGUGGCAAGCGUUAUCCGGAAUUAUUGGGCGUAAAGCGCGCGUAGGCGGUUUUUUAAGUCUGAUGUGAAAGCCCACGGCUCAACCGUGGAGGGUCAUUGGAAACAGGAAAACUUGAGUGCAGAAGAGGAAAGUGGAAUUCCAUGUGUAGCGGUGAAAUGCGCAGAGAUAUGGAGGAACACCAGUGGCGAAGGCGACUUUCUGGUCUGUAACUGACGCUGAUGUGCGAAAGCGUGGGGAUCAAACAGGAUUAGAUACCCUGGUAGUCCACGCCGUAAACGAUGAGUGCUAAGUGUUAGGGGGUUUCCGCCCCUUAGUGCUGCAGCUAACGCAUUAAGCACUCCGCCUGGGGAGUACGACCGCAAGGUUGAAACUCAAAGGAAUUGACGGGGACCCGCACAAGCGGUGGAGCAUGUGGUUUAAUUCGAAGCAACGCGAAGAACCUUACCAAAUCUUGACAUCCUUUGACAACUCUAGAGAUAGAGCUUUCCCCUUCGGGGGACAAAGUGACAGGUGGUGCAUGGUUGUCGUCAGCUCGUGUCGUGAGAUGUUGGGUUAAGUCCCGCAACGAGCGCAACCCUUAAGCUUAGUUGCCAUCAUUAAGUUGGGCACUCUAAGUUGACUGCCGGUGACAAACCGGAGGAAGGUGGGGAUGACGUCAAAUCAUCAUGCCCCUUAUGAUUUGGGCUACACACGUGCUACAAUGGACAAUACAAAGGGCAGCGAAACCGCGAGGUCAAGCAAAUCCCAUAAAGUUGUUCUCAGUUCGGAUUGUAGUCUGCAACUCGACUACAUGAAGCUGGAAUCGCUAGUAAUCGUAGAUCAGCAUGCUACGGUGAAUACGUUCCCGGGUCU